ACCAAAAUAUACAUAACAGUAGCAUAAAUUAAGUACAAACAAAUGUGUUUUAGAAACUUAAACAUAAAAAAUCUAACAAUUACAGCAAAGAAAACAUUAAGAUAUCAAAUUUCAGCAUUAAAGUGACAUAUGAAACCUAAGAAAUAUUCAAUUAAAUUGUAGUCUACCUAAAGUUCACUAUUAUAAAAUACAACAAAUUCAAAAUAAUCUUCAAAUAUCAUGCACUUCAAUAUCUUCUGUUAUUCCGAUAUUUUUAGGAGGCCUCAUUGAUGCUUCAUCAUCACUUUGUGCCUUCUCUUCUUCUUUCCUCGAACCAUAAUGCCACAAAAUUAAAGCAUAUCUCGUGCGAAGAAGAUUUAGAUCAAAGUCAACAGUUGAAAUACCAUCAAAAGUUGGAACAUAUACAUGCAUUACCCUUGCCAUGUAUAUUUUGAUCACGCAAUACCUAUACAACACAAAAAUACAAUUAUAUGUCUAACAGUGCAACAUAUGUAUUUAAGAAAAUACAUCUUAAAAGUUUAUUAAUAUCUUAAAGUAACAUCACUUCUCCAUAUCUUAGUUAUCAAACAUCAAUAUACAAACAUUGUCAUUUACUCUUAAUAAACAUAUACACAAUAUACAAACAUUGUCAUUUACUCUUAAUAAACAUAUACAACUGAGCAAAAAAUACAAAUAUUAACAGUACAAAUAAGAAAAUACAUAUCUAAUAGAUAAUAAAUACAUUUCAUAUGAUUCCAGACAAACAAAUUACAUAUGUAUUUUAUUUAUACAUAAUUUGUCCAAAUCUCAUACUUAUCAAUAAAAAAAAGAACAUAUCAUAGUCAAAAACAUAUCUUAUCAGUAAACAAAACAGAUACAUAUCUAACCUGUACCAUGUGUAACAUUUACAUGUCAAAAUAGUGGUACUUAUGUAUUUACAAUAUACAUAUUAUAUUUACAUUGAAACACAUAUAUGUAUUUCAUGAAUACACAAAUGAUAUAAAUUUAACUUACAAGAAAAAUAUACAACUGAACAUCAAUUACAAACCUUAUCAGUAACAAAUACAAAUAUCUUACACAUACAAAUCGAAAAUUUUAUAUAUAACAGAUGCAUAUCAACAAAUUAGCAACAAAACUAAAAAAAUAAACACCUUAUAAAAUGUAUAUAUCAAAUACAUAUAUGAACAUGUUGUCCAGAAACUAUAAAACUUUACACAUAUCAAAAUACCUCCUUCACUUUCUCUUCUUCAAAUUCAAAAUCAGAUGAAACAGGACUUGCAAUUUUACUAGAUUCCGCUUUUUUAUCUGACUUUUUUUUUCACCGAUUUUUGAAUUUUUAUGAAUUUUGGGGAUGAAGAUUUUGUCAAUGCUUUUUGUUUCCUGAUUUUCACAGUCUUUACUGGAUCGCUAUGCUGCUUCGAUCUCAGCUCUUCAAUGCUAGUAGAACACAAGUUAACGUCUUCAUCUUGUGUUAAACCAAGAUUAAAUGAUGAAACUUCAUCGAAAACUAAAUUAAUAGGUUGAAUAUCUCUAACUGAACUACUACUAUUUGCAUAUUCUUCCAUUACAACAGAAAUUCAAAAAAUACAACACGAAAAAAAAAAUUCAAAAAAUCACAUAAUCUUCAUGUAAAUUUCAGAUCCAACAUAAAAAGAGAAAGAAAUAAUUUUGUGUAGGUAAAAGAAAAAUAAAAUCUUGGGAUCUGAAUAAACUACUACAACUUCUUCACUCUGUCAUUUCAUCUUAUUGUUGAGUAAAAUCUACUGUUUUAUUUACAGUAAAAAGUUAAGCUUUUUGAAAAAUCAAAGAUAAAAAAGACUACCAUAUAUAAUUUUGACAGUGUUUACGAAAGAUUAUAAGAUUUAGAAAGAGAAAGAGGAAAAAAGAGGUGGGUGAAAGAGUUAACCAAACCUUUUUCUGUGCUCUUUUGGAUGUAAAAUCACAUAUGAAAGUUCAAGAAAAAUGGCGACAAGUACAGAAAAGAAAAAUCAAACAGACCAAUUCACAGAAGAAAAUUGAAAAAACUGACGACUAAAAAACACAUAAAAAAAUUUAUAUGGAAAAUAUAACAUGCAUUAAUUCUAAAAAUAAGCUUACCUUAAUAGAUGGAGAGAGUGUUUAUCAAGAUCUUGAAGAAAAA
rnacentral:lncRNA from 1 species